AAGGUGAACACAAAGUGCUCUGAUUAGAAGCCUUUCUGAAGCUGCACAGACCAGCGACACAUUAUGGGCUACCACAGGGCUACUCAGCACACUGCACAGCGUGCUGCACACGAACAGAGAAAGACCAGUCAGCUGAUCUGAACAAUCACGAGUCUUACCGUCGAUACAGUGUGCUUCUACCCCAUGCAAUGGACAUACAGGACAGCAGAUACGGGAGAAAAGUUCUCACCAGACGAACUCCCGGCACACGGAGCAGAAGGUGGGCUGUCUGAAGAAGGUGGCGGUGAACUCGUGGUUCUUGAUGAAGUGGAUCUUGGCCUGCUUGAUGGCCCCUCUCCGGCGGUUGAGUGUCAGGGCUCCUUCCUCCUCCUUCACAGACUGCUUACACUCUGAGGACAGAGCAGAGGCGGUCACGCCGUCUGUGCGGCCGUACCUGGAAGGGCCUUCAAUACGCUGCCUUAGCUCUACUGCAGGGAAGGAGAUACAAGUGUGGCCGCUUAUGUAUUCUGCCGAAUUGGCUAAAGUUCAUGAAAUUAACGAGGGUUGAUUUUUGCAUGGAAUUUCUUUACCUCAAAAGAGCAGGCAUAAAUCAAGGCGCAAGACUGAGACUGCGUAUGCAUCAACAUACCCUUGUCAGGCUGCAAUUUGCGCUGCGAGUUUUAUGUAUGUAAGUCUGGCCCAGAGUUGCCACAAGGUUUCACUGUUGCUGUGGUCUUUGUCUCUAUGCUAUUGUUGCUAACCAGGCUCAGUGUUUGACAGAGGUUGACUGCGUCCAUUCUGCCCCAGACAGAAACACACAGGAGGAGGACUCCUGAGGGUGUUGAGACUCGCUCUCCUAACCUCUGCCUGGACUGGACUGCUUUUUAGGAAACCAGGGAGUUCAUGGAGAGGGCCCUGCCCCCUCCUCUCACCAAGCCACGCCCAUAGGCUUCAGCGCAUGCCCAGAUGUCUGUCUCAGUCCUGGCAGAAUGAUUUGUUUUUGGUUCAAAGAGGACCCGGUCAGGCAUAAAGACGCUGUGCUGUGGGUUCUCCAUCUCUAUCACUGUCUUUCUCUCUCUAUCCCCAUUUGUCUUUUUCUCUCUUGAUCUCUUCUUCCCCUUCCUUCUCUUGCACAUUACAUACAUUUCCUGCUGUCAAAGUGACUUCCUGUUCUCCUACAACUCACACCAGCAAUGGUCAUACUUGCACAUAGUCUGGAUAGAUCACUGUUUGGCUUAUCUUAUUUUCACUUCAAAAACCACAGACAAACAGAGCGCAGGCCAUAUGGGGAGAUAGGAGAGAGAAAGCAAGAUCAAAGAAGAAAAGUAAAACAGAUCCAAGUAAGCUGGGUGGGACAGAAUGGGUCAAAGAAGGAUAAAGGACAAAUUGCAGGCUGUUGAACUAUGGUCUUUAGUGCAAAUAGCUUGUAGCCCUGGGGGUGGGGAUCAUUUAAGGUGGCAAAGUGGAACGGCAGGGGUUACAAUCAUACAGAUCCACACAAUAUGGGCCCCAUUUAAUCUGCUCACUUUCAUUUGCAAGUCAAAAAUACAGAAGUAGUUUAUUCAGUAUUGAAUCCUGAACAUUAUCUCAGCUUACCAUUUGAUCAGAUGUCACAAGACAGCUUUCUCACAGAAAUGCACACAGUGGAAAUGCAAGAUUCAUUUUUACAAUUGUUUACAGUGCCUUUCCCCUUUAUUUCUAACCUAUUAAGCCACUUAAAUUUUGACCAAUGUAUUUUGAGCAGCUGUGAAAAUCAGUUAAUUGAUUGUCACUGUGCUGUAAACAUUUCUAAAACAACUGUGCCUUGUUAUGCAUGAUCAUUCAUUUCAAUGUCAUGUCAAUGUCAAUGCUUAAAGGAAACAUUUUCAGUUUCACUUGUUUUCCUGAGAACAGGCACAAGUGUGAAUUCAAUUAGCCAAGAAAUGAGUAUCGGUUAUAACUGACUGCCAUGCAUAAACUCAAACACAUGAUUAAAAGGGUAAACAGUGAAA